rnacentral:lncRNA from 10 species
GAAUUACCAGUUCUUCUCAACAGUUUUCCUUUUCAACCCCUUCACCACCUUGUCUGGAUUGCAACUAACCUAUUCAUUGUCUGAUUUUUUUUUGGAAUUAUCUCCAUAUUUUUUCUAUCAGGGCCACAACUUUCAGAAAUAUGAAGAUGACAUCCAAUUGGAUUCUGCAACUCUGUGAUCUACAGUGCUCUCUCCUGAUUUGAAAAAGCCAGUCAGACACUGUUUCUGGAAUCUGAGGUUUCUAGAAGCCAGGAUCAAAAGUGUCGCACUUGGUUCCACUUCAUGCAAGCUAGAGCUCAUUAUGAAUAAAAGAGCAUGUUGCUAACUUGGCCUUUAGCCAGAGUCUGACCUGGCAUCAAAACAUAUCACUGUUCUGGAGAUAAUCACAAAGAUCUGCAACCAUCAUAAAGGUUUCUGUGGCAGUGACAUGGACUCCUGAUCCCUGUUCCUAUGUUGUCAUUGCUAUUAUAAACAUGCAUUUGUAUUAAACUAACAUAGUAAUGUUUGUGACUUGUCUAAAAUUUGUUUAAUCUUGUAAGAUUCUUGUAAGAAAGAAAAUCAACAAAGAAAAUAAAAGGAAAGGAGGAGUUAUGAAUAUACCUGUUUGGUAUCUCAGUAAGAACAUAUUUUGUAUUCUAUAUUUACUCAUACUCCCAGUUAUGAGACAAAACUAAAUGUGUGCUUGUGAGUGAUGAACAGAAUGGAUGUUCUUGGAGAACAAAGGAAACACAUGGUAGCAUGUGAGUGUUCCUCCAAAGCACAGUUGAUUUGGGAGUUUCAGGGCCCAACUCUCCCAUCACUGCAGAUAUUGUUCUCUAUCCAUUAUCCUCAUUUACAGAAAUCCUGAUCCAUAUCCCCAGAGCCAACAUACAGCUCACAGCAGCUAGAUUUCUCUGAGACAAUUAAGUGGCUUUUUUCCCAGUUGCUCUUCCCAGAAUUUAGACGGGAGAAAAACAUUUUGUGAAAUGUUAAUACUCUAAUGGCAAGAAUUAAUUUGUGGAUGUGGUUAAAUGCUAUCUUAGCAACGCCUUGAAAUGUAGCGUAUGAUUAGCACUUCACCGGUACAGAUAUUCAUUGCCUUUAAGAAAUUCAUUUUAAUGUCUCUUGUUCUAUUAUUGUUAUGUACUGCAUUUUAUGCCUUCCUUUUAAAUCUUAUUUUCCAUAUUCUAAAGAAAACUCUUUCUUACGAAUGAUGCAUUUUACUUUUCAGACUAAUCUUAACUUUCCUACCUCUUGUUUGGAGACUCAUAUAAGAUGUUUAUUGUCUUCAGGAUGUCUGUUAGCUAAAAGAAGCUUAGAAGGACAUUUUCUCCUACAUGCUGAAUGACUGAAACUUGAAUGUGUGAAAGUUACUAUCUUACAAUAAAUUUAUGUUACAUAGUGUUUCUAAAAAACAGAGUCACUAAAUUACGGAGAAAUAAUACAACGUGGUAAAGAUGAUUUGGAUUAAAACAACAGGAAAAAAAUUCAAAUCAGGAUAUAUUUAUGAAUCUAUUCUUUUAUUUAUUUAUGUAUUCAUUUGUUCAUUCAAAAGUAUUUAAUUAUCAUCUGUCAUAUCUCAGACACAGUUCUACGCCCUGGAGACAGACCAGUAAACUAAAAGACAAAAAUUCUUGUCAUCUUGGGCCCCAUAUUCUAGUGGAGAAAGAGACAUUCCUACACUAAAAUAAAUUCCAAUUUUAUAAGGAAAUCACAGCAUAAGUGCUGGAAAUUUUAAAUAAUAAAAUGCCACAAAACAUAAGAAAAUUCCAAAUUUAAAUAAAUAUAUAUUUGGCAUAAAACCAUAUUUAUGAGAUAAAUAUUAGAAAUAAAAUUGUAUGAAGCCUGAAAUUAUACUGGUAAAUUAUCUGCAAGUGCUUAGUAAGUAUAAGGGAAAAGCAAACACUUUCUCUUCUCUUACAAAGUUGACUCUCUCACAAUUUUGGUUACCAAAAUGUUGGGGAGUGGGCUUCUCCACACACCAAGCAAUUCUCCAGCAGACUCCAACUGGAUGUCCUACAAUUUAACUCAAUUCUCACACUACCUACCUAGAAAUAGCAUCAGAUCCCACAGGUUAAGGGCUCACUCCAACAAAACUACCCCCAACUGGAAAUGCCAAUCACAAAUCUAGGCCUCCACAAUUUCUGAACAACCAUCUAUAAAUUGGAAGUUCCCACAACCCCCUCCUUGAGUUUGAUUAAUUUGCUAAAAUGGUUCAUAGAACUCAAGAAAGCAGAUUACUUCCAUUUACCAGUUUAUUACAAAGUAUAUUAGAAAGGAUACAGAUGGACAGCAAGAUGGCAGUGAUGCACAGGGCAAGGUACGUGGGAGGGGCGCAGAGCUGCCAUGCCCUCUCUGAGCAAGCUAUCCUCCCAGCACCUCCACGUGUUCAGCAGCCCAGAGUUCUCUGAACCAUGCAGUUCAGGGAUUUUUGUGGAGGCUUCAUCAUAUAGGCAUGACCAAUUAUUACCUCAAUCUCCAGGCCCUUUCUCCUUCCUGGAGCAUGAGGGAAGAACUGAAAGUUCCAAUCUUCUAAUCAUAGCUUGGUCUUUCUGGUGACCAGCUUCCGUCUAGGAGCCCACAGAAAGUUGCCUCGUUAGAACAAAAAAUGUUCCUAUCUCCCAGGAAACUCCAAGGGAUUAGGACCUCUGUGUCAGGAGCCAGGGCCCAAGACCAAACAUCAGCACAAAAGAUGCACCUAACACCACUAUCACUCAGGAAAUUAAAAGGGUUUGAGGAAUUCUGUGCCAGGAACCAAGGCACAGACCAAAUAUAUAUUUCUUAUUACAUCACAAUAUGACAGUAAGAAAUUUGUAGAAAUGGCAUGGCUUGAAAGGCAUUGUCAUAACUCAACAAGAACAUUCUUUGACAGGUUGUUCAAUAAACAAUAUGGAGAGGAUGGAGAGUUAAAGAGGAAUCGUGCUAUGGUUUUACAAUGCUCAUGGUUCCGUAAGAAGGAAAGGCAGGGUCAGGUGCAGUGGCUCAUGCCUGUAAUCCCAGCAGUUUGGGAGGCCGAGGCACGUGGAUCACUUGAGGUCAGGAGUUCGAAACCAGCCUGGCCAACAUAGGGAAACCGCAUCUCUACUAAAAAUAGAAAAAUAAGCUGAGUGUGGUGGUGCAUGCCUGUAAUCCUGUCUACUCGGGAGGUUGAGGCAGAAGAAUCAUUUGAACCCGGGAGGUGGAGGUUGCAGUAAGUCAACAUUGUGCCACUGUACUCCAGCCUGGGUGACAGAGUGAGACUCUGUCUCAAAAAAAAGAAGGAAAGGCAAGAUCAGAAAAAUCAUUAUUUCUAUAGCACAAUGAAAGAAAAUAAAUGACCCAUUUGCACAAGGUUUUAGGUGAUGCAAGAAAGAGAGACUAUCUUACAAUACACUGCAGUCUGGAGAACCCUUGAGGAAUAACAAAAUAGUGAACAUGGAAAACCAGAAAAGAAUUACAUACUUUUAAAGAGGUCAUUAGAGUGCAAAACUAGCCUAAAUGUCCACUUAAAAUUCUAACAUUGUCUGUUUGGUAAUGAUGUAUUGCCAUUACCAUUAUACAAUGCAGUAGUUGAUUCUUAAUCAUUUUCAUUAUAAAUAAUUAUAAAUGUUAAGCUGUUACAUUAAUUUGUCUUUAAAGGAAGGGCUAUUUUUUAAGAUCAGCUGUUGUAGAAAGGGCUACAGAUUGAGAAAUAAAAGCUACUGCAAAAUCUGUGUCUUUAAGCUCUCCUGAGCUUAAGAUUUUUAUUUAAACCACCCAUUAGACAUCUUUCCAGAAUCCCUUAGGGACCUCUGACUUGACAUGUCCGAAAGUGAACUCAGUAUCAUGCUUGAUAUCCCAUUUCAUCAUCUCUACUAACAGUUCUACCAUCCACUUAGACUGGCUAGCUACAAACCUGGAAAUAACCUCUCUCUCUCUCUCUCUCUCUCUCACACACACACACACAUACACACACAUUCUCUCUCUCUCUCACACACACACACAUACACACACACACUCUCUCUCUCACUCUCUCUCUUACUGAAGAUCACAUGUUUGGUGAUCUCUCCUCUCUAUCAUCAUUAUCACUGUUUUAGGCCAGGUCCUCAUCGGUUUUCAUCUGGAUCACGAUACUUGCCCUCUGGCUGAUCUUCUAGACUCCAGUCUCUCGUCAUCUGUUUCAUCCUGUGGCUGAAGUCAUCUUCCUAAAAACAAACCAGAUCAUAGACACCAUUUCCCUAAUACCGUUUUUGGUUUUCCUUCUGCCCAUGCACUCCUAUAAGUAAAAUGUUUAUCUCAAAUACACAUAUCCAUUUGUAAAUAGCAUAUAUUAUACAAGUACUGCAUUAAUAUAUCAUACACAUAAGAAAACAUAAAAAUUGAAAAAUUAAAGGAUGAGAUGAAGAUGAAAUAACCCCUAUUUUAUAUGCCAUUUAUUUAUUAUUUUUGUUUUUUUUUUUUAAGAAAUAAUGUCGUGCUCUGUUGUCCAGACUGGAGUGCAGUGGCAUGAUCAUAGCUCACUGCAGCUUCUAACUUCUGGGCUCAAGCAAUCCUCCUGUCUCAGCCUCCCUAAUAGCUGGGCCUACAGGUGCAUGCCACCAUACCUAGCUAAUUAAUUUAUUCCAUUUAUAAUGGUAGAUAAAAACCUUUUGCCAUUACUAAAAUGUUGUUUAGUGAGAGUAAUAUGGUUGAAUAUUCUUCACAUUUUUUGGAAAUUUUUAUUGUGAUAAGGCAACUUACAAAUCUGAGUACAGCUUACUUAUAUUUAGUUUUUAUGGCUGUCAGAGCUACAGAAUACACCUCACAUAGAACCACAUAUGCAAACAGAGGAAGCAUUCAUUGGAUGAGCUUAUGAAAGUAUGAUACUCAUUUUUCAAAGACCAUCCACCAGUUUUGCAAGGACUUUUGUUAAAAUUUAUUAACAUUUGAAAUAUUCAUGUUAUUUCAAUCUUUUUAAGUUAUUUGUCCAUUCUGUGAGGCUUAGGUUAGUCAAUCCAGAUAAUAUAAUACAUAAAUCCACUUCACUGAGUAACAUAAAUUGCUGAUAAAUGGUAAUUUGCUUUAAGAAUGAACAAGGUUGUUAAGGACACCCCUCAGCUGUGGAUCCCAACCUUCCCUCAGAAUUCCUUGCACAUAGCAGUCCCUCUGUCUGUCUGAUAUACGGACCAAGUGAGAGCGCCAAUGUCAAUCCAUGUUACUUAUUAAUAAAGCAUAAAUCGUUUCUCACAUUUUUGGAUAGAUAGCCAAGUUUUAACCUUUUCUUCCCACACCCCAGUAUAUCACUCACAAAGCCCUUGAGUGGUUCUCACCCUACUUUGGAGACCACUGGCUAAUGUAUUACAUUCAAAUAUCUCAGCUGGACAUGCAAGGACUUUCCUGGUCACCCUGAGCAAUCUCUCAAUUCCUCAAAGCCUACUCAUCAGCCACGUUGAACAUUUCAUCAUCCUCGAAUCUGGUUAUAGCUUUGUCUUUCACAUUUUCUAUCUAGAAUACUCUUACCCACACACUGCCUUAUCCAAAAACAUCUUCACCUAGUACACUCUUCUUCAUCCUUCAAGACAUGCACAAAUUAGAGCACUUUGAUGUUCUUUCUGCCUGCCCAGUGUUCUGGGCACUCUGUUCACACCUUUUAAUGCCCCUUGAGCCACACUAUGGACACAUAUGUCUCUCCCUAUGCUGGAAGCCCCUUGGAGCCAAAGACCAUUUGAGUAAUCACAGAGCCUAACACAGAGACUUCCCAAUAGACAGCACCACAAAAAAUAUUUUCGGGAUAUUACAACUUAGAAAGAUUGAGCAAUUUUAAAUAUAAAAAGCAAAGAACAGCAAAUAUUUGUUGAAGAAUUGAAGACCAAGAGGAAAAAGCUUCUGAGAAGAGUCAAGGAAUCAAUUCCCUGUUAUUCUUACACUGGCUGACCAAUUCAUAGAUAGGAUAUAAGGGAGCUGCAAAGAAGGUGCAACUGGCAAGGUAAGGUUUAAUUAAUCAAGAAUAGCUUUUGAUUCAACAAAAACUGGCUGCAUUGUCUUCCAGAAGAUCCCACGAUGAGAUGGUGGUGACCCCAGUGAUCCCUAGAAAGCAUUGUACUCCAUAGAGCUGCAACAGAAAACUAGAAAUUCCAUCUCAGCCUCAGAGACUGAGGGGGACUGAAAAGAUAGCUUUACCUUCUAAGAGAUAAUUACUAAUUAAUAAAUUAAUUAAAUCUAUUGCCUUCAAAAUGUAUAGAACUGAUUACCUUCAGCUACACCUGU